UACGAAGGGGGCUAGCGUUGCUCGGAAUCACUGGGCGUAAAGCGCACGUAGGCGGAUCAUUAAGUCGGGGGUGAAAUCCUGGAGCUCAACUCCAGAACUGCCUUCGAUACUGAAGAUCUCGAGUCCGGGAGAGGUGAGUGGAACUCCGAGUGUAGAGGUGAAAUUCGUAGAUAUUAGGAAGAACACCAGUGGCGAAGGCGGCUCACUGGCCCGGUACUGACGCUGAGGCGCGAAAGCGUGGGGAGCAAACAGG
rnacentral:rRNA from 1 species